UCAUAUUUAUCUUGAAGGCGUUACCAAAGCAUCAUUUCCUUUCAGAUCAAGCUUAUUACCAUCUUUCGGCUGAGAUUUCG
rnacentral:snoRNA from 1 species